GCUCGUCGGAGGAGCGGAGGCGCCGCCUCCCGCCGUCGAGGCCACCUCUCCAUGCGCUCUCCGACCCCCUCAUCACCCCCACCACCCUUUUUUUUUCCCUUUUUUUUCCCUUUCACCCCUUUCCAUGACCUCACCCCACCACCACCACCUCCCCAACCUUCCCCCCUGGAUUGGGGUCAGCCUCCGGCCUCGCUCCCCUUCGGGGGUCUCCCUUUUGGCCUCGCCGUCCCCCGGCCUCGCGGCGCGCUCCCGGCUGGCAUCGGCGCGCUGAGCAAACAGGAAACACUCGCCCUUUGUUAAUCCUGGCCCGGGCUGCGCGUUAAAUAUUUAUCUGCCCGCGGAGGCUGGUGCUGGGAGCGGGGCAGAGGGAGGCUGGGACGGAGGCCGGUGGCACGGGGACGCAGCCCGGAGGCUGCCGAGCAGGUGCCCAUCAUCCGCCACCGCGGCUCCAACACGCUGAAUUUCGACUUCCACGACCCCUCCCCAGCUGAGCACGCCCGAGCCGCCCCCAGAACCCCAGGUACCUGCCCCGAGCCUCCCGGGGGCACCCGCCCUGCACCCUUGGGACCCAGCAGCUGCCCCACGCGCUGCCCAGUGACACCCAGGGGCGUCACCACCCUCCCCAUCACCUCGUCCUCAGCCACCGACUGGUACCAGACCUGGCCGGCCAAGGAGGCGAAGGCUCCCGGCACCCCAGCACCCGCUCAGGACCCCAUGCAGGGCCCGGGGGCUGCCGCACCCCCACAUCCCACCCCCAGUUGCCCGCGCCCACCGGGCUGGUCGGCCACAUGGACCAAGGACAGCAAACGGAGGGAGCGGCGCUGGGUGAAGUACGAUGGCAUCGGGCCGGUGGACGAGACGGGGAUGCCCAUCGCCUCGCGCUCGGUGAGUCGGGGGAGUGGGGCCGAGCUCUGCCACCCCCUUGGGACCCUUCCUCACCGUCCCCACGGUGUCCCUGCAGAGUGUUGACCGCCCCCGGGACUGGUACCGCAGCAUGUUCCAGCAGAUCCACCGCAAGCUGCCCGGUGAGUCCCGGUGCCGCCGGUGCCGCCGGUGCCACGGCGCGGCACGGUGCCCCCUCAACCUCCUUCUCCUUCCCCACAGAGCCAGACUGGGACGCCCAGCACUGCCCCACAGAGCCGCGGAGGAAAGGGCAGCCAAAAUCCGAGCGUCCCGGUGUGCCCAACGGGACGGACUGGGCCCAGUGGGGUGACCCCGGUGCCGACGCAGAGCCCGGCAGCAUUUUUGACUACGAACCGGGGAAAUCCUCGGUGCUGGAGCAGCCCGGGCAGCCCCCAGCAGCGGUGCCCAGAGCACGAGCUCAGCCCAUCGAGGUGCUGCUGCAGCAGGAGCUGGAGCAGCUGAGCGAGGAGCUGGACAAGGACAUGAGGGCCAUGGAGACGCGCCAGCAGCCCCGCAAGAGCUCGGCGGCUGCUCCCACCGCUCGCUCCCCUGCUCCGGCCUCUCCGGCGCCUCGGUGAGUACGGCCGCCCGCUCCCCAAAACCCCCAGCCCCAAAACCCCCAGCCCCAAAUCCCCCAGCCCCAAAUCCCACAGCCCCAAAUCCCCCAGCCCCUCUCCAGCCAUGGGAUCACCGCGGGACGGGACCCCACUCGUGGCUGGCUCAUUCCUCGCAGAGAUUUGGCUACUUUGGGGUGCCCACCCUGACAUCCCGCUCGUCCCCACGUCCCCCCCACCACCACCCCGAGCCCCCCCGUGGCUCCGCUGGCUGCGCCCUCCCCACGGCCGGACACGGGUGGGGAGCUCGGAGGCCGGAGCAGCUCCGGGCUGGGCUGGCUGCCCGCUGGGUGGGACGGGGCUGGGACGAGGCUGACCCUUUCCCCUGUCCGGCCCGCGCGGGGACACCGUGUCCCGGAGCUUGGCUCAGCCCCAGGGGAGGUGCCGGGCGCUGGCUUCCCACGCCGCGGGGAGGGGACACCGGUGACAGCAGCCCCUGGGGGUUGGGGAAGCCACCCCCCCUCCAGGACCCCCCCACCCCAUGCACCAGGACCCCAGGGUUCAAUACCGGGGGGUCUUUCCUCGAGCUGCGCCCCAGGAUGGAACAUUUUUGGUGGCACGUCACCCGCUGUCCCCCACAGGAGCCCGCUGUCCCCCCGCCGGCUGCAGAGCCCCCCCGGUGCCCCCC
rnacentral:lncRNA from 1 species